rnacentral:siRNA from 1 species
AUCGUAAUGCGUCAUAUCUAGUC